GGACCUGACUGCUAUCGGAUUGAUACUAAGCCAUGCGAGUCAUUGUAGCAAUACAAGGCAUACGGCUCAGUAACGCGUAGUCAACCUAACCUAUGGACGGGAAUAACCUCGGGAAACUGAGAAUAAUGCCCGAUAGAACAUUAUGCCUGGAAUGGUUUAUGUUCCAAAUGAUUUAUCGCCGUAGGAUGGGACUGCGGCCUAUCAGUUUGUUGGUGAGGUAAUGGCCCACCAAGACUAUUACAGGUACGGGCUCUGAGAGGAGUAGCCCGGAGAUGGGUACUGAGACACGGACCCAGGCCCUAUGGGGCGCAGCAGGCGAGAAAACUUUGCAAUGUGCGAAAGCACGACAAGGUUAAUCCGAGUGAUUUCUGCUAAAGAAACCUUUUGUCAGUCCUAGAGACACUGAUGAAUAAGGGGUGGGCUAGUUCUGGUGUCAGCU
rnacentral:rRNA from 1 species